rnacentral:pre_miRNA from 1 species
UAAAUACUCCCUCCGUCCGAAAAUACUUGUCAUGAAAAUGGAUAAAAAGAGAUGUAUCUAAAACUAAAAUAUGUCUAGAUACAUUUCCUUUUAUCCAUUUUGAUGACAAGUAUUUCCGGACGGAGGGAGUAUUUG